rnacentral:misc_RNA from 1 species
GAUGAAGAACGUAGCGAAAUGCGAUACGUAAUGUGAAUUGCAAAUUCAGUGAAUCAUCGAGUCUUUGAACGCACAUUGCGCCCCCUGGUAUUCCGGGGGGCAUGCCUGUCCGAGCGUCAUUGCUGCCCUCAAGCACGGCUUGUGUGUUGGGCCCCGUCCUCCGAUCCCGGGGGACGGGCCCGAAAGGCAGCGGCGGCACCGCGUCCGGUCCUCGAGCGUAUGGGGCUUUGUCACCCGCUCUGUAGGCCCGGCCGGCGCUUGCCGAUCAACCCAAAUUUUUUAUCCAGGUUGACCUCGGAUCAGGUAGGGAUACCCGCUGAACUUAAGCAUACAAUAAGCGGAGGA